UACGUAGGUGGCAAGCGUUGUCCGGAAUUACUGGGUGUAAAGGGCGUGUAGGCGGGGAUGCAAGUCAGAUGUGAAAUUCCAAGGCUCAACCUUGGAGCUGCAUCUGAAACUGCAACUCUUGAGUGCUGGAGAGGAAAGCGGAAUUCCUAGUGUAGCGGUGAAAUGCGUAGAUAUUAGGAGGAACACCAGUGGCGAAGGCGGCUUUCUGGACAGUAACUGACGCUGAGGCGCGAAAGCGUGGGGAGCAAAC
rnacentral:rRNA from 1 species